rnacentral:rRNA from 1 species
UACGUAGGCAGCGAGCGUUGUUCGGAAUUACUGGGCGUAAAGAGCGUGUAGGCGGCCGUACAGGUCAGCUGUGAAAACUCGAGGCUCAACCUCGAGACGUCGGUUGAAACCGUACGGCUAGAGUCCGGAAGAGGAGAGUGGAAUUCCCGGUGUAGCGGUGAAAUGCGCAGAUAUCGGGAAGAACACCCGUGGCGAAGGCGGCUCUCUGGGACGGUACUGACGCUGAGACGCGAAAGCGUGGGGAGCGAACAGG